GAUGAACGCUGGCGGCGUGCCUAACACAUGCAAGUCGAGCGAAGCGCUGUUUUCAGAAUCUUCGGAGGAAGAGGACAGCGACUGAGCGGCGGACGGGUGAGUAACGCGUGGGCAACCUGCCUCAUACAGGGGGAUAACAGUUAGAAAUGACUGCUAAUACCGCAUAAGCGCACAGGACCGCAUGGUGUAGUGUGAAAAACUCCGGUGGUAUGAGAUGGACCCGCGUCUGAUUAGGUAGUUGGUGGGGUAAAGGCCUACCAAGCCGACGAUCAGUAGCCGACCUGAGAGGGUGACCGGCCACAUUGGGACUGAGACACGGCCCAAACUCCUACGGGAGGCAGCAGUGGGGAAUAUUGCACAAUGGGGGAAACCCUGAUGCAGCGACGCCGCGUGAAGGAAGAAGUAUUUCGGUAUGUAAACUUCUAUCAGCAGGGAAGAAGAUGACGGUACCUGAGUAAGAAGCACCGGCUAAAUACGUGCCAGCAGCCGCGGUAAUACGUAUGGUGCAAGCGUUAUCCGGAUUUACUGGGUGUAAAGGGAGCGUAGACGGAUAGGCAAGUCUGGAGUGAAAACCCAGGGCUCAACCUUGGGACUGCUUUGGAAACUGCAGAUCUGGAGUGCCGGAGAGGUAAGCGGAAUUCCUAGUGUAGCGGUGAAAUGCGUAGAUAUUAGGAGGAACACCAGUGGCGAAGGCGGCUUACUGGACGGUGACUGACGUUGAGG
rnacentral:rRNA from 1 species